rnacentral:rRNA from 1 species
AGUGAACGCUGGCGGCGUGCCUAAUACAUGCAAGUCGAACGAAGUGGCGCACGGGUGAGUAAUAUAUAGUUAAUCUCCCCUACACAGAGGAACAACAGUUGGAAACGGCUGCUCAUACCUCAUAGUGUAGGAUGAGAGUAUAUCGUAUCAGCUAGUUGGUAAGGUAAUGGCUUACCAAGGCUACGACGCGUAACUGGUCUGCGGGGAUGAUCAGUCACAUUGGAACGGAGACACGGUCGAAACUCCUAGGAGAGGCAGCAGUAGGGAAUAGUACGCAAGGGGGGAGACCGUGACGCAGCAACGGCGCGUGGAGGAUGACACUUUUCGGAGCGUAAACUCCUUUUAUCAGGAAAGCGGUACCUGAUGAAUAAGCACCGGCUAACUCCGUGCCAGCAGCCGCGGUAAUUC